GAACUGCGAUAAGUAAUGUGAAUUGCAGAAUUCAGUGAAUCAUCGAGUCUUUGAACGCACAUUGCGCCCCCUGGCAUUCCCGGGGGCAUGCCUGUCCGAGCGUCAUUGCUGCCCUUCAAGCCCGGCUUGUGUGUUGGGUCGUCGUCCCCUCCGGGGGACGGGCCCGAAAGGCAGCGGCGGCACCGCGUCCGGUCCUCGAGCGUAUGGGGCUUUGUCACCCGCUCGAUAAGGACCGGCCGGGCGCCAGCCGGCGUCUCCAACCUUUUUUUCUCAGGUUGACCUCGGAUCAGGUAGGGAUACCCGCUGAACUUAAGC
rnacentral:misc_RNA from 1 species